rnacentral:lncRNA from 1 species
AUAACUAUUUAGACAUCCUUGCAUAAAACCUUAAACAUCUUACAUUAAGCAGUUAAGAGAAGAUAAUAAACUCAAACAAACCAAAGCAUACUUCGGUCAUUAUGUAAUUAAGUCAAUGGCAAAACAUUGUUAUACAACUACCAUGAAAUCAAAAUAAAAUUGCACUAAACAUAACAUAAGAAACAAAAUCAUCUUGGGUUUUUCCUUCAAAAUAAACUGCAAAGUACAUGUCUGAUCUCCCAAACAAGGUAAUUCACUUGAGAGGAAUGAACCUGGAGGAGUGAGUAGCACCAAUACCAGGUCUACCGUGCUUAACAGGCUUGUAUGAAAUUGAGAAUUCAGCAAGGUAAUGACCGAUCAUCUCAGGUUUGAUUUCAACCUGGUUAAAGGUCUUCCCAUUGUACACUCCAAUAAUGCUCCCAAUCAUCUCAGGUACAAUGAUCAUGUUACGAAGAUGGGUCCUAACAGGUUCUGGCUUCUCACCAGGUGGUGCCUCCCUUUUCUACAACCAAUUCACAAAAUUAUAACAAUAUGACUCAGCCAGCAUUCCAGUACAAAAGAUAGUAAGGGUCGAGCAAUUAAGUCCCUCAAAUUCACAAAGUAGUCCUUUAAAAUAAAAAAACCACCAAUCAAUUUAGUCCCUGUAUCUAUAUAUCUCUAUUCAGUUAACAUUCAUCAAAAUCAAUAAAUGCUUAGAUAUUAACUUAACUAGUCUCUUGGUGCAUUAGACGCAUAUAAAACCUUUAAAAUGGUAGUGCUAAAUUUAGAGCAAAAAAAAGUGACUCAUAUUGUUCAAAUUAAGGUACUUAAGUGCUAAUUUGCAAAUAUAAAGGCCUACAGUGAAAUUUUGAAAAUUCGAGUAAUCACUAAAAUUAAAGAAUAACAAAUUAAUUAAGUUCUUCAAGCAAAAUGUUACUUUAGUAAAGAUCCACUAAAAUCAAUAUAAGACUUCCAUAUUAACUUGAAUAAGCAUAUAACGUUGAAAAUGGUAGUGGCAACUUUGCAAAAAAAAAAAGGUGGCUGUCAUUGAUGAUCAAUUUAAGGGACUAAAUUACUAUUUUACAAAUUAAAGGAACUAAAUUGGUAUGUUGUAAAGUUUGAGCAAUUUAAUCCCUCAAUAACAAUUUAGUCCCGCAAUCAAAAUAUAUCUUUAGACCGAACUCACCAAAAUCAAUAAUCAACAAAAGACUUGAAUGCUAACUUAUGCUCUAGAUGCAAUUAUUGCAUCAGGACAUGAAACCAUUAAAAUGGGGGCACUAAAUUUGGACAAAAUCGCAAAAAUGCUAAUGACUGACUUGACAUUGUCCAAUUUUUGGUACCAAAUUGUUAGUAUUUUGCAAAUAAAAUGGACUAAAUUGAACACGCCUAAAAUGCUGAUCUACACGAAAAUUGUUGUUUGAUAUUUAAUUUUUCAGAUAAAAUAAAAGAAAGAAAGAAAGAAAAGUAGUAUUGUACCGCUUUGCGAAGCUUUUUGAUGAGAGCCAUGGGCUUACGAGUGAGACCUCUCUGGAACCUUCUACGAGCACGAGCACUGAAGAGCUUAACAAGCUCAUCAGUGGACAUGUCAAGAAGUGCAUCCAAAUCAACUCCUCUGAAACUGAACUUCUUGAAUGUUCUCUUCUUCGGUACUCCGGCGGCGGCUGCUGCUGCAUCUACCUCAACGUCUGCC